rnacentral:rRNA from 1 species
UACGUAGGCAGCAAGCGUUGUUCGGAGUUACUGGGCGUAAAGGGUGCGUAGGCGGUCCUAUAAGUAUGGUGUGAAAUCUCCCGGCUUAACUGGGAGGGUGCGCUAUAGACUGUGGGACUAGAGUGUGGGAGAGGAAAGUGGAAUUCCUGGUGUAGCGGUGAAAUGCGUAGAUAUCAGGAGGAACACCAAUAGCGAAGGCAGCUCGCUGGGACGUUACUGACACUGAGGCGCGAAAGCGUGGGGAGCGAACAGG